GGGAGUGGCAAACGGCUGAGUAACGCGUAGGAACCUACCCCAAACUCGAGUAUAGCCCCGCGAAAGCGGGGGUAAUCCUCGAUAGUCCGUGAAGUAUUUUACUUCACGGUAAAGCUUUUGCGGUUUGGGAUGGGCCUGCGUCCUAUCAGGUAGUUGGUGAGGUAAGUGCUCACCAAGCCUAUGACGGGUAGCUGGUCUGAGAGGAUGGUCAGCCAGACUGGGACUGCGACACGGCCCAGACUCCUACGGGAGGCAGCAACUAGGAAUUGUGCGCAAUGGACGAAAGUCUGACGCCGCGACAUCGCGUGGAGGAUGAAGGUCUUCGGAUUGUAAACUCCUUUUCUUACCGAACAAGUCCUGAGUGUAGGUAAGGAAUAAGUGCCUGCUAACCACGUGCCAGAAGCAUCGGUAAUACGUGGGGCACGAGCGUUAUCCGGAUUUACUGGGCGUAAAGAGAAGCGUAGGCGGCUCGAUAAGUUUGGUGUUAAAUCUUCCGGCUCAACCGGAAACAAGCACCGAAAACUAUCGAGAUUGAGUCGAGUAGGGAAGAGGGGAAUUCCUGGUGGAGCGGUUAAAUGCGUAGAUAUCAGGGGGAAUACCAAGGGCGAAGGCACCUCUUUGGACUCGUACUGACGCUGAGGCUCGAAAGCGUGGGUAGCAAAACGGAUUAGAUACCCGUGUAGUCCACGCCGUAAACGAUCCCUGUUAGAUGUAUGUUUUGUCUGUUUAUUUUUCCUUCGGGAAGGGUCAAGGGCCAAGAUGUGUGUCGUAGUUCACGCGUUAAACAGGGCGCCUGGGAAGUACG
rnacentral:rRNA from 1 species